GGUCGGCCUUCGGUCUUCCUCUUCUCCGGUUCUCCCCGAAGCCCGUCUGCCUUUUCAGUUCGCGAUCGAGGAAAGAGUCUCGCGGGGGUUCAAGGAGCUAGGGUUCGAGGAUCAUCGGAAGAGGAGCGGGGAGGAGGGGAAGAUGAUCGAGGUGGUGCUGAACGACCGCCUGGGGAAGAAGGUGCGGGUCAAGUGCAACGAGGACGACACCAUCGGCGACCUCAAGAAGCUGGUGGCGGCGCAGACGGGGACGCGCCCCGAGAAGAUCCG
rnacentral:lncRNA from 1 species